ensembl:lncRNA
AUUCAGCUCAAUGGGAGGAAGUGACCAAGAGUCAGAUCUAUUCCGAGAUGGGCUGGGCCGCCCCAGGAGGCACAGAAGGGCUGUAAUUCAUUCAACAAAUAUUUACUCAACACCCACCUCAUUGUGCAGCCUCAGUUCAGGGGCUGGGCAUCCCGCAGUGACCAAGACAGACCUGGUCUGGCCCUCUCAGAGCUCACCCUCUGCUGACGACGGCAGGCACCGAGAGCAUCAUGACCCCAUCGUUCAGCAUGUUGCAGUCCUGACGGGCACUAAGGAGAGCGUGUCCGUGCUGUGUCCAUGCUGCCCCGGAGUCACGUAGGAGCCGUCUCCGUGAUCAGAGCCACUGUCAUGGACAUGUUUCCACAGUGGGCUUCCUCCUGGACCACGCUGGUUUACUAACGGCCCUUCCGAAGCUUGUCAAGAGGCCUGGUCUUCACAGCUACUGGCUGCAGCCCUACCCUAGACACUAGGUUCUGUUAAUGCAGCCCAGGGCUGCCCUUGCAUUUAUAGGCCUGCAGGCUGCUGCUAAGCAUGGGAUCAGCCAAGCCCCCUGGAUCUGUGUGAGGGGUGCUUUGAACCCAAGAGCCUACAAGGGAAGCUGGGGCCGUGUCUGCUGCCUCUGAGGAAGGAAGUCUGGCUUUGAACAUCUUUGGGAAGCUGGACGCCUGCCUCAUGGGCCAUGCCUGGAGCAACACUGCCCCCUCAUGGCCUGCUCUUCAGGUGCAGUCAGUGGAUGUUCGGUGAACUCAGAGCUGCCCUGGGAACUCCACCCGCCUGGCCUGAGGUCCACAGAGCUGCCCUCAAGAACCCCACCUCUUUCCCCUCUGGAGGUCCAUAGAGCUCAGAACUGUCCUCAGGGAACCCCACUCCAUCUCUCCUGAGGUCCACAGAGCUGUCCUCUGGCAGCCCACCCCACCUUCCUUGAGGUCUACAGGCUGCCUCUCAGUCUGCCGUCACCCGAGUUCUUGCCUGUCUUUGGCAGCCUGUCAGUCUGUCUUCAGCUGUGUGUACCUGGGAGUGUCUCUCUUUUGGGCUUGUGUUAGCCUUUGCUGCCUGGGCAUAUCUGUCUAUCUGUCCUGCUGGCUUGGGCCGCCUGUCUCUCUGUGUCUGUGAUCAGCACCUCCUCUCUCUCUUUCCAUUGAUCUCCACCUCACUCUGCCCAGGUCCCUGUUUCUGCUGCUUUGUCUCUGACUUGCUCCCUGCAGCCCUCCGCUGUCCGUGUCCUGGAGCUUGGGUCAUGGCUGCCUUCCCUCCAGUGUGGGACUGAUUUGGCUUUUUCUGCGAUGAGUCAGGAACUCCUGGAGGGAUGAGGGCUCUGGCCCCGCCCAGCAGUGGCCUCAGAGAGGAUGCAGGAGGCAGGAGGAGCUUUGGGCCUGGCCGAGGACUGUGACAAGAGAUUUUCCAAAAUAUUCUCCUGGGGCUGGGGUGGGUGGAUUCCAGCAGAUGUCUAAGGAGAAUGAGCGAGCUGGCUGUCCACCAGCGUGGAGCUGUGCUGUGGGGCUGUUCUCGCUGCUGCCUGUGUACAGGGCUUUCCUAAUCUCCUCAAUCCUCACCUGGCUUUCUGUCUCCUCAGGGCCUUAGCACAAAUUGUUUCUCCUUCUUGGAAUAAUCUUCCCCCUGAACCCUCACCUUAGAAACCACUUCCUCUAGGAAGUCUUCCCUGAUUUACACCCUCUGGGAUGGGGCCCUCCUCUGUGCCAGGACAGCGCCCUCUACUUCAUCAGUGUUACCUGGUUACGGUCUGCCUGCCCGCCUUGUGUGUCUGUUGCUGUAUCUUCAGUGUGUGGCUCUUUCUGGCUUUCAGUAAAUACCUGUUGCAAGAACAUUCGGGAGUCCCAUCUGAUUUCACCAAAUGUUGCCUCCUCCUUGAAGCCUCCUCUCCCCUCUCUUCUCUUAGGACUGUGCUGCCCAAUAUUGUAGCCAUUAGUUACUUGUGACUAUUUACAUUUAAACUAAGUAAAAUUAAGAAUUCAGUUCCUCAGUAACGAUAGACCCAUUUCGAAUGCCCAGUGUCCACAUGUGGCUAGUGGCUACUGACCGACUGGACAGUGCAGAAACAGAACAUUGGCGUCAUGACAGACGGUCCUGUUGGUCAGCACCGUCUUAGGACAAUCUUUGGAAACUGCUCCUUUGUUCAGAUUCUUUCCCAUCCUCAGGGAGGAUUGGACCAUGAUGGGUCCCUCCCAGGAUUCCCAGGGCCUGCCACGUCAGGUGACACAUGUGUGACGGAUGGAUGGAUUGGUGGGUGGUGGCUCGCCCCCUGGGAGUCCCAAGGAAAGGGGUGGCGCAGGCUGCCUCUGAGCCGUCGGGGGGAGUUGUUGCUCUGCUCCAGGUUCUGUGCGUGAACAGAGGGCCUUUGGUGACUCUCAGCCUGAAACUUGAACUUGUGGGUGGCCGUCAAGAGACUUGGGGCUACAAGAGCAUAGGGGUUCUUGCAGCUUAGGUGAUGGACCGAAGGGCCUGACUUGGGGACGUUUCAUGAGCACUGAGCCGUGCUGCAGGGCAGAGGUAGCUGGGACGGCUGGCAGAGGAUGAACCACGGAUGGCGUGGCUGGACCCAGGCUUCAGGGCAGGCUGGAGGGGCCCAUCCCGUGCAGACUUGAGUUGCCAGAGAGGGGCCCGGGCCCUGGGAGAGGGCUGGGGCAGCUGCGAGGAUAGAGUGCAGCCUGGCCCAGGGCAGAAAGGAGUCAAGCAGGCCUGGGGGGCCCCCCGCCCCAAUCCCUCACCAGCAGCUGGGCUGGGACAGUCAUGGCGGUCAGGGUCAGAGCAGGGUCUGACCUCGCAGAAGCAGGAGGUCAGCGAGGGCCUCCGUUCUGUGCCUGUGGCUCCUCUCCACUCGGUACCCCAGAGGCUCCGGGCAGCCGUCCUGCUUUGUUCGGGCUGCUCUGAGGUGAAAGGGACCUGCUCACCCCUGGGCAGGAGAGGGGGCCGUCAGGUGGUCAGGCCCACCACACACAUACACACACGUGUGUACACACACAUUUACACAGACACACUCUCAUUCUUACAAACACACAUUCACACGCACAUCCACAGACAUACUCACGUAUACAGAAACACAGGCACGCACACACUCCCAAACAGGCACACAUACACACAUACCCAGUCCCUUAGUGGCUCCCGGUGUUCCCUGGAUGAUCUGUGAUUUCUGUCUGAGAAGCUCGGAACUGGCCUCCAGUUCCAGGACAGGGUGUGGAUUUGCGCCCACACCUGACCCACACCCGGAGCGAGGAGCCGGCUAGCAGUUGAGGCCCCAGGGAUGCUGUGGGAAUUAGGGGAGCCCCGCCAAGCUGCAGUGGGCACAGAGCUCCAGGGGGCAGAGCUGAAUCAGGCCUUGGAACUCAGGUAGCCUUCUGGGGAGGGGUGCGUGGCAGCUUCCAUGCGCAUAGACAGGGAAGCAGCCAGGUGCCAGGACAGGGCAGGGUGUCCCACACAGGUCAGGUGACACCCUCUUCCCGCCCCCACUUGCUCUGCCUAUUCCUGUCCUGCUCAUCCUUCCCUUUGGUUUCUCAGCAUCUUUGUGCCAGAGGCCCCAGAAGUUCCUGGAAAAUCUCCUGUUUGGCCUCUGGCCCAGGAACAGGCCCGGAGGAGGUUGUGGGGGAAGAGCUGCCUGUGCGUCAUCUGUCCUCUGAGUUGGCAGCCCAGGGGGACCAGGGCUCCCUGUGGGCAGCCCAGGCCUGGGGAGGAGGUGGAGGCCGGGGGCGCUUUUUGCCUGAGCCCUCUGUGG